GACGAACGCUGGCGGCGUGCUUAACACAUGCAAGUCGAACGGAAAGGCCCUGCUUUUGUGGGGUGCUCGAGUGGCGAACGGGUGAGUAACACGUGAGUAACCUGCCCUUGACUUUGGGAUAACUUCAGGAAACUGGGGCUAAUACCGGCUAGGAGCUCCUGCUGCAUGGUGGGGGUUGGAAAGUUUCGGCGGUUGGGGAUGGACUCGCGGCUUAUCAGCUUGUUGGUGGGGUAGUGGCUUACCAAGGCUUUGACGGGUAGCCGGCCUGAGAGGGUGAACGGCCACAUGGGGACUGAGAGACGGCGCAGACUCCUACGGGAGGCAGCAGUGGGGAAUAUUGCACAAUGGGCGGAAGCCUGAGGCAGCAACGCCGCGUGCGGGAUGACGGCCUUCGGGUUGUAAACCGCUUUCGCCUGUGACGAAGCGUGAGUGACGGUAAUGGGUAAAGAAGCACCGGCUAACUACGUG
rnacentral:rRNA from 1 species